rnacentral:rRNA from 1 species
GACGAACGCUGGCGGCGUGCUUAACACAUGCAAGUCGAACGGAAAGGCCCUGCUUUUGUGGGGUGCUCGAGUGGCGAACGGGUGAGUAACAAGUGAGUAACCUGCCCUUGACUUUGGGAUAACUUCAGGAAACUGGGGCUAAUACCGGAUAGGAGCUCCUGCUGCAUGGUGGGGGUUGGAAAGUUUCGGCGGUUGGGGAUGGACUCGCGGCUUAUCAGCUUGUUGGUGGGGUAGUGGCUUACCAAGGCUUUGACGGGUAGCCGGCCUGAGAGGGUGACCGGCCACAUUGCGACUGAGAUACGGCCCAGACUCCAACGGUAGGCAGCAGUGGGGAAUAUUGCACAAUGGGCGGACGCCUGAUGCAGCAACGCCGCGUGCGUGAUGACGGCCUUCGGGUUGUAAACCGCUUUCGCCUGUGACGAAGAGUGAGUGACGGUAAUGGGUAAAGAAGCACCGGCUAACUACGUG